UCUCGAGCUUUUUACAGGCUCUUUGCUGCCCCUGGGUUUUACCAGGGUUGAGCUCACCUUCUUGAGGUCUGCAUGGUGCUUUGGCGUUUUGGGGCCUGCGAGCCCUGCUUUAGUAGGUCGCACUGCUAUAUGAUACAGGCGUUGAGGUGCCUUGGUUUAAUCUUUGUUAUGUGCUGGUUACUUUGCGAGAUUGGGGCCUUAUUGGCUUUGUUGAUCCGAGCUCUUUCGGGAGGUCGGAUUUGAAGUCUUUUUAUGUUUGUUUCAUCAUUCCUUUUGAGGUCAGCAUGACGCUUUGAUACUCUUAGCAGUCGAGAUCAAAGUCUUAUGACUCGAGCUCCUUUGGGAGGUCGGAG
rnacentral:lncRNA from 1 species